rnacentral:rRNA from 1 species
CUUAACCUGGGCUGGUCAGAUAAGACUGCUGGACUGGAGUAUAGGAGAGGGCAGUGGAAUUUCCGGUGUAGCGGUGAAAUGCGUAGAGAUCGGAAGGAACACCAGUGGCGAAGGCGGCUGCCUGGCCUAAUACUGACACUGAGGCACGAAAGCGUGGGUAGCGAACAGGAUUAGAUACCCUGGUAGUCCACGCUGUAAACGAUGUCAACUAGCUGUUGGCUUUAUAGAGAAAGUUAGUGGCGCAGCAAACGCGAUAAGUUGACCGCCUGGGGAGUACGGUCGCAAGAUUAAAACUCAAAGGAAUUGACGGGGGCCCGCACAAGCGGUGGAGCAUGUGGUUUAAUUCGAUGCAACGCGAAGAACCUUACCUACCCUUGACAUACAGUGGAGCUUGCAGAGAUGCGAGUGUGCCUUCGGGAACAC